GCUGUCUUAGACUGGGGAAGCUCGGGGAAAAGGCAGGCGCUUUUCAUUCGGAGAGGUUCUGCAGUUCCUCAUGGGCUGUGUCCGCCGGCUGCUCAGCAAGGGCAGCUAUGCUGAGCGGGUCGGGGGUGGCUCGCUAGGGUACCUGCCUGCGGUUCUGGAGUACCUGGCCUCCAACAUCCUGGAGUUGGUGGGCAACGCCGUCGGGACAAGAACACCCUCAUCAUCCCACGCCACACGCAGCUGGCCGUCCGCAACGACGAGCUCAACAAGCUGCUGGGCCGAGUGACAAUGGCCUGGGGUGACGCCUUGCCCAACAUCCAAGCUGUGCUGCUGCCCCAAAAGAUUGGGAGUCACUACUACAAAGUCCAGUGUGAAUAACCACGCAAGUUGUAAAAGCCAGCGAAGUGACUUGAAUGUCUAAUGUCUAGAAGAAGAAGAAGAAAAAAAAAAAAAAAAGAAAAAAGAAAAAAAACCCAAAGCUGAAAUCAAAGGCUCUUUUCAGAGCCACUCAAUUUCUCAGUAAGAGCUAGUUUACAAAAAGGAUUACAAAAUGCUGUUUCGUCAAUAAGACUACAGCUUUCAUAAACAGGACUCAGAACAGUUCUGGUUAUUGGGGUAUCCGAAGCAGUUUCCUUUAAUACUCGG